UCCUCUUUUUCUCCGCCACACACACACACUCACACACACACAUACACAUACACACACGCUUCAUUCGGUGAGCUCGUUUUCCUUCUUUCAGCAAACAGGUUGAUAUGGUGAGACAGAGCUGCUGGGUGGGCUCCACCGCGGGAGUGGAGGGCCCUCGGUUCAAGGCUAUCAAGUGAAGUGUUCUUUGAUAACACACAGACAAAAAAAAAAAGAAAAAAGAAAUGAGCUAAAAAUUUUCAGUGAUAAGUGAAAAACGUGGCUGGGGCAGUUCUCGGGGUCGAGCUGUGGGAUGCGACAAAGAUUAAUAAAGAGAGCAGGUCUGAGGAGGGAGAGGGUGACGGUGAGGUUAGCUGGAGGGCCAGACAGCGCUAGAUGAAAGUGGGAACUCUCUCCCACAGCUGUCAGCAGUUUUUAAUGCAAACUUUGCUAUUGAUUGGCAGAGCCGGCCAGGUUCUACCACCAAACUUUUCUAGUUUCUCGAGUGUUGGAUGGAUUGAGUGGCACGAAGAGUCCAGUAUCAGGUGGAGACUUCAGGGGCCAGAGGCACAGUUUGGCAGGGUCGACCGAAGGUUCCUGGGAGUCCUCGGAGAGAUGAGAUGAGGUUAUGAGAGGUCAUGUAGAACAGCUCGGUGUGACAGCAAAUCAGAGGCCACCCCUCCGGAUGGAGUCACGUGAAACAAAAGGAAACAAGGAGAUGAAACACAAACACAAACCUCUGUGGGCAAACUCCAUCACCUCAGCGCUCUCUGCGGCACCGGUCACUUAUGGCCACAUUACAUCGUCAUAAAUGGAAA